AGAGUUUGAUUCUGGCUCAGGAUGAACGCUGGCGGCGUGCUUAACACAUGCAAGUCGAACGAAGCAACUAUCUUGCUUGCAAGAGAGUUGACUUAGUGGCGGACGGGUGAGUAACGCGUGGGUAACCUGCCUCAUACAGGGGGAUAACAGUUGGAAACGACUGCUAAGACCGCAUAACCCGCUAGUGUCGCAUGACACGGACGGAAAAUAUUUAUAGGUAUGAGAUGGGCCCGCGUCUGAUUAGCUAGUUGGUAAGGUAACGGCUUACCAAGGCGACGAUCAGUAGCCGACUUGAGAGAGUGAUCGGCCACAUUGGGACUGAGACACGGCCCAAACUCCUACGGGAGGCAGCAGUGGGGAAUAUUGGACAAUGGGGGAAACCCUGAUCCAGCGAACCGCCGCGUGAGUGAAGAAGUAUUUCGGUAUGUAAAGCUCUAUCAGCAGGGAAGAUAAUGACAGUACCUGACUAAGAAGCCCCGGCUAACUACGUGCCAGCCGCUGC
rnacentral:rRNA from 1 species